AUCCUGUCGACGAGUCCCAAAUGGGACGAAAUUCGCAUCCGGGAU
rnacentral:hammerhead_ribozyme from 1 species